CCUCCAGAAACUUGCCUUCCCACCCUCAGGCUGCAUUUUUCUUUGUAUCUCCACCCAUCUUCUCCUUGAUAUCUUUGGCCAUUUCAUUAUUUUUGUAAAGCAGUUUUCAGAGUUCCCUCCAGUUUUCCUUCGCAAUCAGUAGUAUCCUGCUGUCGUCUAAAAGGACAAGGCACAGAACUUAGGAAUCAAUAGGUAGUGGGGGAGACUGUGGAUACUUAGGUCUGAAUUUUCCCUUGCCUAUUCAUAAAAAAGAUUGUCACCUGCUUGACCUUGCAGUCAAAUACCUCUGCAGUCUCAUCUGCCAUUCCUUUCCCCCCAUUUUUAUUGUCCCUGCCACAAAGCCCAUGCUCCAGCCAAAUUAAAUGAUGCUCUUCUACUCCUUCCCAGUUUCCACAUUGCUGGUGUCUUUGCUUAUUCCCUGCCCAGGUCCCAGGUGAGGAGUGCUCUGCUCCCCCAUUUCUGUGCUUCCAGAUUCUUUAGGUCUUUCCAGGCCAGUUGGGAUCCCACCUUUUUCUGGAAGCAUUUCACUUCCUGACAAAAUGUGGAUCACCUCUGCUUCUGUAAUCUCCACAGCAAUGUAGUCAUCUCAUCUCACUUCUUUCCUAUUUUUAAGCUAACCUAAAGUAGCCUCAGGAACUCUGAGAAGAGAAAAUGAUGGUACUCUUCUUUCACUAUCUUGCAUAUAGCCAAGCCAAGAUGCUCAAAAAGUAAAUAUCCAUAGUAAUUAGUAAAACACUCCAUUAAAUAAUCACUCUAUGAAAUCAACACUUUAAAAAGCAAACUUAGAAAUUUCUUCCAAGUUUCUGUAUGCAUUUGACAUAUUGAUUCAACCUCAGUUCUCAGUAGUUUAGCUUUUUGAACUUAGAAAAUUCAUACAAGUAUUCCAGUUUUGUCAGUAAAACCCCUAAAGGGAAGUGUGACAUGGAAGUAAUGAUUAUCAAAUCAAAAUCAUACACAUGCACAACCUUUUUCUUAAAGUGAAAUUAAAAAUGUAGCCCAAGAUAUAGAAAAGCAGAACUAUUCUACUCGGACAGUAUUUCACACAUCAUGUAUUCUCCUGGCUUUUCCCCCAACCCGGCUUUCUUUGGCACUCCUAAAAUAUGUCUGUAGAACCUUCGGGUCACUGGGACAAUUUGAAAACCUCUCAGCAGCUCAGCACAUUAAAUACCAACCCUGUAUUCAACAUGAAGGUAUCUCUUUCCUGUCCAGCUUCCAUAAUUACUAUGAUAUGGGGGCCCUUCUAGGUCUCUAAGAGAGGACUUAAUCUGGUUUAAAAAAUUUGCUCAAUGUGGGAUAGAAAUUUUAAAAGUAACCAUUACCAACACCAUUCAUUUGUGAUAUGUUUUGUAAGAAUUAUUUUAUACAAAUAAAAUUAUUUUAACAAAUAAAAAUAAGAACUUUGGCAUUUACAUGAGAAGUCUU
rnacentral:lncRNA from 1 species